AACGAACGCUGGCGGCAGGCCUAACACAUGCAAGUCGAGCGGACCUUUCGGGGUCAGCGGCGGACGGGUGAGUAACGCGUGGGAAUAUGCCCUUCUCUACGGAAUAGUCCUGGGAAACUGGGGGUAAUACCGUAUACGCCCUUUGGGGGAAAGAUUUAUCGGGGAAGGAUUAGCCCGCGUUGGAUUAGGUAGUUGGUGGGGUAAUGGCCUACCAAGCCGACGAUCCAUAGCUGGUUUGAGAGGAUGAUCAGCCACAAUGGGACUGAGACACGGCCCAGACUCCUACGGGAGGCAGCAGUGGGGAAUCUUAGACAAUGGGGGCAACCCUGAUCUAGCCAUGCCGCGUGAGUGAUGAAGGCCUUAGGGUUGUAAAGCUCUUUCAGCUGGGAAGAUAAUGACGGUACCAGCAGAAGAAGCCCCGGCUAACUCCGUG
rnacentral:rRNA from 1 species